UAAAGCGUGCGUAGGCGGCUUUUUAAGUCGGAUGUGAAAUCCCCGAGCUUAACUUGGGAAUUGCAUUCGAUACUGGGAAGCUAGAGUAUGGGAGAGGAUGGUAGAAUUCCAGGUGUAGCGGUGAAAUGCGUAGAGAUCUGGAGGAAUACCGAUGGCGAAGGCAGCCAUCUGGCCUAAUACUGACGCUGAGGUACGAAAGCAUGGGGAGCAAACAGGAUUAGAUACCCCUU
rnacentral:rRNA from 1 species